rnacentral:lncRNA from 1 species
GGCGGAAGACUGGGUAGACUCAUUAUGUGAUGAUUUUUCAGAGAACAGUGAGAACACUAUUACUACACCAUUAGGUGUGAAUCACUCAUGUUAUACAAGAAAAAAAUGUUAGAAAGUAAUAGAUUUCCACAUAGAAAAAAAGUUAUCUUCCUUAGAACAGAUUUAAGCUCUAAAAAAUUUAAAAGAAUAUCUGUCUGAAAAUGAAUCAUGGGUGUAUAAAUAUAAACCAGAAACUCUGCAUGAACUUGAUGUGCAGAAGAUAACUGAAGUUGAAACAUGGAUAAAAGUUCAAGUCUUAGAAAGGCAACCCAAACAGGGUAUAUCUAUUUUAUUCAUAACAAGUCCUUUUAGAUGUGGAAAGACAAUUAGUAUAAAAAUACUAUCAAAGAAGCAUGGUAUUCAAGUACAAGAGUGGAUUGAUUAAUCCAGUUUUAACAGACUUCCAAAAAGAUUGUUUCAAGAUGUUUAAUCCUGAAUCAAGCUGCCUUAUAUUUCCCUAACAGUCUUAGAUCUCAGUUUACAAAGAGUUGUUACUAAGGGCAACAAAGCAUCGCAAGCUACAAAUGCUUGGAAAUGAUCUGAGGACUGAUAAGAACAUAAUUUUGGUUGAAGAUUUAUCUGAUUAGUUCUGUUGAGAUUCUGAUACUUUACAUGAAGUUCUAAGAAAGAAUGUGCAGACUGCCCGAUGUCCUCUUACAUUUAUAGUUUCUGACAGUCUCAAUGGAAAUAAUCAAAGGUUAUUGUUUCCCAGAGUAAUUCAAGAAGAGUGUUCUAUCUCAAAUAUUAGCUUCAACCCUGUGGCAACAACAAUUAUGAUAAAAUUUCUUAAUUGAAUACUGACUUUAGAUGGUAACAAGAAUGAAGGAAAAAGUAUUGUCCCUGAUAAAAACUUCUCUAGAAUUGCUCUGUCAAGGAUGUAUCUAAAGUGUAAGAAACAGCCUCCAGUUUUCUCCUUCAAAAGAAAAGGACAAUUUAUUUGACAACGAAAAAAAAAAAAAAAAAAAGGACUGUCAUUAAAAUCAGAUGCUAUGCUGUCAAAAUCAAAACAAAGAAAACAUCCUGACAGGGUUUUUGAAAAUCAAGAGGUCCAAGCUAUUGGUGGCAAAGUUGUUUCUCUGUUUCUCUUCAGAGCUUUAGGAAAAAAUGUAUUGUAGAAGAGCAUCCUUAACAGAACUAGACUCACCUUUGUUGCCUUCUCAUUUAAGAGAGUAUGGUAUGGGAUAUAUUACUUGUUCAAACUGAGGAAGUAGUAGAAAUGUCACACAUGCCAGGAGGGUUAUUUAUUUAAUUUAUAUCUUCACCAAAACUACAGGGAUUUUUUUUUAAUGAAAGUAGAUAUUCUUAUGAGAGCCAGUGAAUUUCUGAGUUUUGCAGAUAUCCCCAUUUGUGAAAAGAAUACAUGCUCUUUACUCAGGGUAGUACAUCUACAGCUAUGAAAGAUGUGAUACAUUUCAACAAAUCUUGAGGGUUUGCUCAUUGCCAAGAACAAUCAAGUUUUUGAACCUUGCACAAACCCCAGUAGUUUCUAACACACAAAAAGUAUUGAAAAAAUGGCCUGGCAACAAAAGCACUUUUCCUGACUUCUGCCUACCAGCUUUAUGUCUCCAAACUUAGCUAUUGCUAUAUCUUGUUCUGUUAACCAUUCAAAUGAGAAAUCAAGCUCAGAUUUUUCUUCUUUCAUCCAAGACAUUGGAAAGCUCCCUCUGGAGCAACACUUUGGAAGACUGAAAAUGGAAGCCCUACCUUAUGGGGAGCAUGGAAUAAUAGACUCUGACAGCAGAGAGGAGGCACAGCUUAAUGGAGGACAGCUUGUAGAGGAAGCUCUGGGUGAACUCACUCAAACCACUGAACCCAAAACCUGGUAUCUUUGAGUCAGAAUAGUGAGAAUGAAUUACCUGCCAACCAGCCUCAGCCCUUUUCAUCCCAAGGAGACACGGAAGAAGACAUGACAACAGAAGACUAUGAGAAUGAUGAGAU